AUACGUAGGGGGCGAGCGUUGUCCGGAAUGAUUGGGCGUAAAGGGCGCGUAGGCGGCCCGGUAAGUCUGGAGUGAAAGUCCUGUUUUUAAGAUGGGAAUUGCUUUGGAUACUGUCGGGCUUGAGUGCAGGAGAGGUAAGUGGAAUUCCCAGUGUAGCGGUGAAAUGCGUAGAGAUUGGGAGGAACACCAGUGGCGAAGGCGACUUACUGGACUGUAACUGACGCUGAGGCGCGAAAGUGUGGGGAGCAAACAGGAUUAGAUACCCUGGUAGUCCACACUGUAAACGAUGAAUGCUGGGUGUAGGGGGUAUCGACCCCUUCUGUGCCGCAGUCAACACAAUAAGCAUUCCGCCUGGGGAGUACGGCCGCAAGGUUGAAACUCAAAUGAAUUGACGGGG
rnacentral:rRNA from 1 species